GGGGAUUUAGCUCAGUGGUAGAGCAGUUGCUUAGCAAGCACAAGGCCCUGGGGUCAGUCCCCA
rnacentral:tRNA from 1 species